rnacentral:rRNA from 1 species
CGCGUAGGCGGGCGGUCAAGUCUGUGGUGAAAUCCUUCGGCUCAACCGGAGAAUAGCUGGAGAUACUGGCCGUCUCGAGGGGGGUAGGGGCAUGUGGAACUUCCGGUGGAGCGGUGAAAUGCGUAGAUAUCGGAAGGAACGCCGGUGGCGAAAGCGACGUGCUGGACCCUUUCUGACGCUGAGGCGCGAAAGCCAGGGGAAGGCAAACG